rnacentral:rRNA from 1 species
AUUGAACGCUGGCGGCAGGCCUAACACAUGCAAGUCGAGCGGAUGAGGGAAGCUUGCUUCCCGAUUUAGCGGCGGACGGGUGAGUAAUGCCUAGGAAUCUGCCUAUUAGUGGGGGAUAACGUUCCGAAAGGAACGCUAAUACCGCAUACGUCCUACGAGAGAAAGUGGGGGAUCUUCGGACCUCACGCUAAUAGAUGAGCCUAGGUCGGAUUAGCUAGUUGGUGGGGUAACGGCUCACCAAGGCCACGAACCGUAGCUGGUCUGAGAGGAUGGUCAGCCACACUGGAACUGAGACACGGUCCAGACUCCUACGGGAGGCAGCAGUGGGGAAUAUUGGACAAUGGGCGAAAGCCUGAUCCAGCCAUGCCGCGUGUGUGAAGAAGGUCUUCGGAUUGUAAAGCACUUUAAGUUGGGAGGAAGGUCUGUAAGCUAAUAUCUUGCAGUCUUGACGUUACCAACAGAAUAAGCACCGGCUAACUCUGUGCCAGCCGCCGCAGUAA